CUCCACGAAGUUGGAUUCGCUAGUAAUCGCGCAUCAGCCAUGGCGCGGUGAAUACGUUCCCGGGCCUUGUACACACCGCCCGUCAAGCCAUGGGAGCCGGGGGCGCCUGAAGUCCGGGACCGCGAGGACCGGCCUAGGGCGAAACUGGUAACUGGGGCUAAGUCGUAACAAGGUAUC
rnacentral:rRNA from 1 species